CCAUGCAGGAAGGUAGAUCGGCCCUUCACAUGUGUGGUCCAUUGGGAGAAGGCAUCCGUGGUGAGCUGUAACAUCUGGGAAGCUGAACAGGAAACAGGUGCCUCUCCUUGCUCCCUCCGUGCUAGCAAACAUCUUUCCUGUCACAAAGCUUGAUUUCUUGAUCCUGGCGAUGUGUGUUUGGAACUCAAGCACGUCCCACUCUGCUUUUCCUUCCUUAACAGCAUGAUCUACGGUGAUCAGACCUGACGGAGACCUCAGGUGACAGCCUGCUCCCCACAGCUCUAUAGACUUCCCUGAUCCCACAGACAGGCCUGUGCCAAGGUGUGCCCCUGAAUAAUUAUGCCAUUAAAAGGCAAAGCUCCAAAGAAAGUGCUGAUUGGCCGAACAAGGUCACACGGUCCCUUCCUGGCCCUGCAGUUUGCCCAGUUGGAGGCAGAUAUACCCCUCCUUCAAGAUAACACAAUUGGGGGUGAAGGAGGAGGAAUUUCCUUCAAGGUCAGCGGGGGACAUCUGUGUUACAAAGGGAAGUGGGACGCCUUUCCGAGGACCACCCUAGAGCUGGAUCCAGAGAGGUGAAGAGUCCAGAGUGAGGGAGAUGAACUGCACACAGAAGGAAAACCCACAUCCAUUCCACAGUUACCCUGUUCCCCCACAAGCACCUCCUCACCGCCCAUCCACUCCUGUCCGUGCGGGAGGGCUGAGCGGUCCCUCCUCUGGCGCGUGUGCACAGUGGUCCUUGUGAGUUUUCAUGGUACUGUCUCUCCUUCUCUGGAUGGACAGUCUCCAUCACCCUACCUUCAAAUCACCAAUUAUUCUACUUGAUCAGAUCUACUAUUGAGUGUUUUCAGUGAGCUGUGAAUUUCCGAUAUUAUGCAUAUUAGCUCCGGAAUGCUAUUGGACUUAAAAACAAAAAAAACAAUCUCUGUCUCAUUAUCAGUGCUCUGCACUUGAAAAGUCUGAUGCCUUUCAACUUUCUAAUGAAGAAACUGAAUAUUUUAUUAGUUAUUUUCCUGUAAAACUGUUGCUUAACCAGUAAAACAGAGCCAGCAGAUAUAGCACACUGCACAAUUAAGAUAACAUUGUUCAUGUGUCCCUAUUCAACUAAAACACUUUCCUCCACACCCAGUAGCUCCAGCAGGAUGGUCAUUAAAU